rnacentral:rRNA from 1 species
UGAGUAACCUGCCCUUAACUCUGGGAUAAGCCUGGGAAACUGGGUCUAAUACCGGAUAUGACUCCUCAUCGCAUGGUGGGGGGUGGAAAGCUUUUUGUGGUUUUGGAUGGACUCGCGGCCUAUCAGCUUGUUGGUGAGGUAAUGGCUCACCAAGGCGGCGACGGGUAGCCGGCCUGAGAGGGUGACCGGCCACACUGGGACUGAGACACGGCCCAGACUCCUACGGGAGGCAG